GGUAAAGGCAUGUUCGCCAUAAAGCUGUUGUUUGUCAGGCAAGCUCAAUACCAUCCAUGCUUAAUGGUUCACGCAUCCAUAUUUUCACCACAGACGCUGUGUGUCCCUAGAAUGUUGCCGUACAUUCGAAGGAAAACCGACAGUUUCAACCGUCUUCCUCGUGCCAAAAGUCAAGUCUUCAUACCUGCAUUCGCCUCUCUUCCACGUGUAUUUCUAAACUUCCCUCGUGGAAGGCUAUGGCAGACGUUCUUUUGUAUCUAUUGUGUUCAAAGUUUCCAGAUGGACAAGCCAUGCAGUUGCAGGCACUCCCUUGUUCACAUGGUAUUGACUAACAGUUCUAUGGUUACGUUCGGUUGAAAGAGAUACUGAAUUAUGUGGUCCCCAACUGUGUGGUCAUAAACAUUUUAGUACUGGGACCUGCCUCAAUGAGGAAGAAAAUUAAAAUGACUUCUGCAGUCAACUUGCUAAGCUAUCAUCCAUUGCUUCUGAGAUGCAGAGACCUUCUGUGGACAUCAACCCGCCUGGGCAUAUAGGACUGGAUUCAUCUUUUCCCAUUGAGGCUAGACAAGACAUUUCAGAAUCUGACGUAGUAAAAGUAAGAGCGGGAGACUGCAAUCAAUCGUUUCCUAACUUCGAUGAACUCAGAAGCGGAUAGCUUCCACAAAAUGCGAAAGAAAAGACAGAUUUUACAGUUCCCAUCAGACUGUGUAACUCCCCUGACAAACUGUCCCAAUGGCUUUGCACUGCUCUGAGAGAUAAAUAAUAAAUACCCACCAUUGCUAGCCCGACAAAA